AACGCUGGCGGCGUGCCUAAUACAUGCAAGUCGAGCGGAAUUAGCUUCUUUUCAGCGGCGGACGGGUGAGUAACACGUGGGCAACCUGCCUGUAAGACUGGGAUAACUUCGGGAAACCGGAGCUAAUACCGGAUAACCUUUCCCUCACAUGAGGGAAAGCUGAAAGACGGUUUCCUGUCACUUACAGAUGGGCCCGCGGCGCAUUAGCUAGUUGGUAAGGUAACGGCUCACCAAGGCGACGAUGCGUAGCCGACCUGAGAGGGUGAUCGGCCACACUGGGACUGAGACACGGCCCAGACUCCUACGGGAGGCAGCAGUAGGGAAUCUUCCGCAAUGGACGAAAGUCUGACGGAGCAACGCCGCGUGAGCGAUGAAGCUUCGGGUCGUAAAGCUCUGUUGUCAGGGAAGAACAAGUACCGGAGUAACGCCGGUACCUUGACGGUACCUGACCAGAAAGCCACGGCUACUACGUGCCAGCAGCCGCGGUAAUACGUAGGUGGCAAGCGUUGUCCGGAAUUAUUGGGCGUAAAGCGCGCGCAGGCGGUUCCUUAAGUCUGAUGUGAAAGCCCCCGGCUCAACCGGGGAGGGUCAUUGGAAACUGGGGAACUUGAGUGCAGAAGAGGAGAGCGGAAUUCCACGUGUAGCGGUGAAAUGCGUAGAGAUGUGGAGGAACACCAGUGGCGAAGGCGGCUCUCUGGUCUGUAACUGACGCUGAGGCGCGAAAGCUGGGGAGCGAACAGGAUUAGAUACCCUGGUAGUCCACGCCGUAAACGAUGAGUGCUAAGUGUUAGAGGGUUUCCGCCCUUUAGUGCUGCAGCAAACGCAUUAAGCACUCCGCCUGGGGAGUACGGCCGCAAGGCUGAAACUCAAAGGAAUUGACGGGGGCCGCACAAGCGGUGGAGCAUGUGGUUUAAUUCGAAGCAACGCGAAGAACCUUACCAGGUCUUGACAUCCUCUGACAACCCUAGAGAUAGGGCGUCUUCGGGGACAGAGUGACAGGUGGUGCAUGGUUGUCGUCAGCUCGUGUCGUGAGAUGUUGGGUUAAGUCCCGCAACGAGCGCAACCCUUGAUCUUAGUUGCCAGCAUUCAGUUGGGCACUCUAAGGUGACUGCCGGUGACAAACCGGAGGAAGGUGGGGAUGACGUCAAAUCAUCAUGCCCCUUAUGACCUGGGCUACACACGUGCUACAAUGGAUGGAACAAAGGGUCGCGAAGCCGC
rnacentral:rRNA from 1 species